rnacentral:rRNA from 1 species
UACGUAGGGGGCGAGCGUUGUCCGGAUUUAUUGGGCGUAAAGAGCUCGUAGGCGGCUUGGCAAGUCGGGUGUGAAACCUCCAGGCUCAACCUGGAGACGCCACUCGAUACUGCCAUGGCUAGAGUCCGGUAGGGGACCACGGAAUUCCUGGUGUAGCGGUGAAAUGCGCAGAUAUCAGGAGGAACACCAGCGGCGAAGGCGGCGCUCUGGGCCGGUACUGACACUGAGGAGCGAAAGCGUGGGUAGCAAACAGG